rnacentral:rRNA from 1 species
UACGUAGGGUGCAAGCGUUGCCCGGAUUUAUUGGGCGUAAAGGGCGCGUAGGCGGCUCUGCACGUCCGUUGUGAAAUCGCCCGGCUCAACUGGGCGGGGUCAGCGGAUACGGCAGAGCUUGAGCAAGCUAGGGGGCAAUGGAAUUCCCGGUGUAGUGGUGGAAUGCGUAGAUAUCGGGAGGAACACCAGUGGCGAAGGCGGUUACCUGGUCCUGCACUGACGCUGAUGCACGAAAGCUGGGGGAGCAAACGGG